UUGAAGUUAAGGAAAACCAAAUUCUAUGGAUUGUCAACUUCUUAUUGCAAUGAGUGAGACGUUUCGGUGCAGUUACUUGCUUGAUAACG